AGACACGGCCCAGACUCCUACGGGAGGCAGCAGUAGGGAAUCUUCCGCAAUGGACGAAAGUCUGACGGAGCGACGCCGCGUGAGCGAAGAAGGUCUUCGGAUCGUAAAGCUCUGUUGUUAGGGAAGAAGAAGCGCCGUUCGAACAGGGCGGCGCGGUGACGGUACCUAACGAGAAAGCCCCGGCUAACUACGUGCCAGCAGCCGCGGUAAUACGUAGGGGGCGAGCGUUGUCCGGAAUUAUUGGGCGUAAAGCGCGCGCAGGCGGUCCCUUAAGUCUGAUGUGAAAGCCCACGGCUUAACCGUGGAGGGUCAUUGGAAACUGGGGGACUUGAGUGCAGAAGAGGAGAGCGGAAUUCCACGUGUAGCGGUGAAAUGCGUAGAGAUGUGGAGGAACACCAGUGGCGAAGGCGGCUCUCUGGUCUGUAACUGACGCUGAGGCGCGAAAGCGUGGGGAGCAAACAGGAUUAGAUACCCUGGUAGUCCACGCCGUAAAC
rnacentral:rRNA from 1 species